CAUAUUCCGUCGUAACCGAGCUGUACGUGAUCACGAACGUGUAGUUUAGCGGGCAGAGGUAAUCUGUAGCAUUGAACAUCUCCUACUCAUCUCUGUUCAAACUAGUGAUGCUUUCAGUAUAACAUCUAUUUAGUGAGCUAAGCAGUAUUAAAAAUUAUUGCACGCGCCAAAAUCCCCAGGCUAAUCAAGAAAUAAAUUUUCCGGAAGCUCACUCCCCGCCAUUGACUUCGUCGUAGUGCGAGAACUUCAGGAACACCUGCUCCAGAGUGGUCUGACUGAAGCUGUACUCUUCUAUGUCCAAUUCCUGCUUGGCUGUAAAUUUAUAACUUGCGUGAAGCAUUCCGCGAGUGAGUUGACAGAGUGCUGGGGUACGGCAAAGACAAGCCUGUCCGCAAAACUUUCCUCCAGCGUGGCGUCAGGGAAUAAUCCAGCGACGAAAUCCUUAAGACCAGAAAUUCUGUCACCGGAAGGAGUCGUUGGUGUGCA